AGUGAACGCUGGCGGUAGGCCUAACACAUGCAAGUCGAACGGCAGCACAGGAGAGCUUGCUCUCUGGGUGGCGAGUGGCGGACGGGAGAGGAAUACAUCGGAAUCUACUUUUUCGUGGGGGAUAACGUAGGGAAACUUACGCUAAUACCGCAUACGACCUACGGGUGAAAGCAGGGGAUCUUCGGACCUUGCGCGAUUGAAUGAGCCGAUGUCGGAUUAGCUAGUUGGCGGGGUAAAGGCCCACCAAGGCGACGAUCCGUAGCUGGUCUGAGAGGAUGAGCAGCCACACUGGAAAUGAGACACGGUCCAGACUCCUACGGGAGGCAGCAGUGGGGAAUAUUGGACAAUGGGCGCAAGCCUGAUCCAGCCAUACCGCGUGGGUGAAGAAGGCCUUCGGGUUGUAAAGCCCUUUUGUUGGGAAAGAAAUCCAGCUGGUUAAUACCCGGUUGGGAUGACGGUACCCAAAGAAUAAGCACCGGCUAACUUCGUGCCAGCCGCCGCGGUAA
rnacentral:rRNA from 1 species